CAGCCCUAAACGAUGCGCGUUAGGUGUAUCGGUGACCACGAGUCACCGAGGUGCCGAAGGGAAACCGUGAAACGUGCCGCCUGGGAAGUACGGUCGCAAGGCUGAAACUUAAAGGAAUUGGCGGGGGGAGCACCACAACGGGUGGAGCUUGCGGGUUUAAUUGGAUUCAACGCCGGAAAUCUUACCGGGACCGGACAGCAACAUGAAGGCCAAGCUGAAGACUUUGUCGGAUUAGCUGAGAGGAGGUGCAUGGCGUAGUCGUGU
rnacentral:rRNA from 1 species